rnacentral:rRNA from 1 species
GAUGAACGCUGGCGGCGUGCCUAAUACAUGCCAGUCGAGCGAACAGACGAGGAGCUUGCUCCUCUGACGUUAGCGGCGGACGGGUGAGUAACACGUGGAUAACCUACCUAUAAGACUGGGAUAACUUCGGGAAACCGGAGCUAAUACCGGAUAAUAUAUUGAACCGCAUGGUCCAAUAGUGAAAGACGGUUUUGCUGUCACUUAUAGAUGGAUCCGCGCCGCAUUAGCUAGUUGGUAAGGUAACGGCUUACCAAGGCAACGAUGCGUAGCCGACCUGAGAGGGUGAUCGGCCACACUGGAACUGAGACACGGUCCAGACUCCUACGGGAGGCAGCAGUAGGGAAUCUUCCGCAAUGGGCGAAAGCUUGACGGAGCAACGCCGCGUGAGUGAUGAAGGUCUUCGGAUCGUAAAACUCUGUUAUUAGGGAAGAACAAAUGUGUAAGUAACUAUGCACGUCUUGACGGUACCUAAUCAGAAAGCCACGGCUAACUACGUG